rnacentral:lncRNA from 1 species
CCACCCUUGCCUAGUUGCCCUCGCCGACUUGUGCCUCCGCCAGCUGUGCAAACCGAGAUAGAAUGGAUUCCCCCGAUACUGUCAUCCGGCGCAUGCUACCGCACCUCCGCGAGCCGCUAUGCUUACUUCUAGGCUCCCCCAUGGUCUGGCACCCAAUGCGGCCGCCCCUAGCGCGGUGACGACGUGUAGGAGCUUCACGUUUGAGCGG